rnacentral:rRNA from 1 species
GACGAACGCUGGCGGCGUGCUUAACACAUGCAAGUCGAACGGAAAGACCCUGCUUUUGUGGGGUGCUCGAGUGGCGAACGGGUGAGUAACACGUGAGUAACCUGCCCUUGACUUUGGGAUAACUUCAGGAAACUGGGGCUAAUACCGGAUAGGAGCUCCUGCUGCAUGGUGGGGGUUGGAAAGUUUCGGCGGUUGGGGAUGGACUCGCGGCUUAUCAGCUUGUUGGUGGGGUAGUGGCUUACCAAGGCUUUGACGGGAAGCCGGCCUGAGAGGGUGACCGGCCACAUUGGGACUGAGAUACGGCCCAGACUCCUACGGGAGGCAGCAGUGGGGAAUAUUGCACAAUGGGCGGAAGCCUGAUGCAGCAACGCCGCGUGCGGGAUGACGGCCUUCGGGUUGUAAACCGCUUUCGCCUGUGACGAAGCGUGAGUGACGGUAAUGGGUAAAGAAGCACCGGCUAACUAC